rnacentral:lncRNA from 1 species
UUUUUUUUUUUUUAUUUGUUGGGAGGAAGGGGUUGUUCUUUUUGAAAAAGCACCAUUGGGGGGCAACGAUUCUAAAAAUAAACAAGAUUUGGUGAUUGAGAUUAGACUGACUCCAUUGUUUUCUAAUAACAGAUACAAGUGAAAACAAACCAGUUUAAACAACGUUAAAAUGUUUUAAAAUUGGUUAAAUUUAAUCUAUGAUGAACAAGAAAAAUCCUAUUGGAGAAAAAAAGGGGACCAAAAUCUAAAAGGAUAAAAUUGGUUAAAUAAAAUGUUCCAAAUCUAGAGGGAAAGAAAAUGGGUGGUUUCGUAAGAAAAUCCGAAGUUGGUGGGGGGUAAUCAGUUAAAACCAAUGCUAAGAAUGUUGGAGUACUACCACACGUAAAAUACCCUUCUCAUAAGAGUGAUCGAAUCUUUGUCGCAACGAUAAAGUUGUAACAACCAAACAAGGCGGUUCAAAUGGUAGAUGAAAAAUGUUUAAAUUAAUGGUUUAGAAAAUUGGUGGGUUUGGCCUUAUUAGCCAGCCGGCUGAGAUGGGUCUCCAAAGAUUGCUUUAGUGGUUUGGGAAAAGUACAGAAUGAAUGUUAUAUGGUGAGUUUGAUAGAGUUUUCAAAGUGUUUUUGGUGAUUAGUGGAGAGGGUAUGUAUAACUUUUGAAGCGGGUCCUUUUAGAUUGUUUUGUUUGGCUGACUCUUAAAUUCUACUCUACUUUGAGAAAGUUGUGGAUUUAGUUCUUAUACUUUAAUUUAAUUAAAGUUAAUUCUUUUACUUUUUGAAUUUUAAAAAACUUUUAAAACUUUAGUCUUGACAGCAUCAUUUAUAUCCGUUUGGUUAAAUUCAAUUACUAGUCUUGUACUAUACAUACUGAAAAUUUGAUCCACAUUCUUCAAUUGGAUCAUUUUAAGUCCUUAUACUUUUCGAAUUUUGAAAGUUUAGGCCUGAUAUAAAAUGACAACAGUUAAUCCAUUAACCGGGUUUUUAAUAAGUAUUAUGUUAAAAUAACAAGUUGACAUGACACUAUACAUACGAUAAUAUGUUUGGUGCAUCAGGUUUUGGAAAUAGUGUAACUUAACUUAGUGAAACUAAAAAUAUUGUAUGGUAAGGACCAAAAUUUUAAUAAUUGAAAAGUACAAGAAAUAAGAAUGACCAAAUUAAAGUAGAAAGAUUACAUUUACAACUUUUGUAAAAUAUAAGGACUAAUAAUAAAAUUGAACCUUGGCUAAAGAGAACAGAUAAUUGAGUCAUGGUGUAUGUAUGAAACCCCGAAGUGUGUUUGAUGUGAUUUGAAGUGUUAACCACAAGCUGAACAUGUUGCAAACAAAUAUUGCAAAAACACGUAGUUUGAGUAUGAUGAUCACGGGGCGUCUAGUGAGCCCCUUGACUACAAGUAGAGCGAGCUUCUCCUUCUUCGCUUCUCUUGGUCAAAGUAGUUGAUUUGAACUAAGUGGUCACAUGUAACACAAUCUAUUCCAAUUGCUCCAUUCUUUCGUCAUUCAUCUUUAACAUGAUUUACAAUUAAAACUAUAAUCCCAUUUUCUUUUCAACUUUCUACCAUAGACAACAGAUUGAAGGAAUAGGAAUUAAACAAAGCUAUGACAAAGGAUGUGAACAGAUCCUUAAUUUUUACUGAUGUCCUUCAAGCAAAUGCAGUGGAUACCGGCUUUCAUGUUCUCAGUUGCAUGGAGGUAUAUCAUUCAGUUAGUCCCAUCUCUUCCAAUGAUUCCGCCAGGUAUGCAAGAGAUACCUAGUAAUCCCUACCAAUUCCAUCCCUGCGAAGAUAAGGUAAAAUGCAACAAAUGAAGCCAGAAUCCAAUGGAAGAACCAGCCACCAGCACCACCUGCCAGAUCAUAAUCCACCCUACCUAAUCUAGAUGAUAAUAACUAUUUGUCCAGAGUUAUGAGCCAAUGCAAUUGAAGGCCAAACAUAGCUACUUUAAAACAUGUGUUCCUUCAUUGAUCAGACAAUUUUUAAGACAUUGGUCACAGUCACUCACAGGUAAGAAACAACUAAGGUAGAACACACUCGCACUAUCUUUUAGCAUGAAUUCCACCAUAAAUUCCGUUCCCUAUCUGAUAAUAUGCAAAGUGGAACUAUGCCAACAUAGUAUCUAAGUAUAUGAGUAGAAGGCUGAAGAUCAAUUUCUUCCCUGUCACCAAAUUUGUUGCAUACGCCGAAAUAAUCAGUAACUGUCACCACUGCUGUCAGUCACAAACAGAGCAGCCAAGGAGUUGAUAGCAGAUAAGUAGAACAACAAUAGGCUAUGUUCACAACUUGUUUUCACAAGUUCCUACCAACAGUUGUGGCUUCCCUGUUUCUCCUAAAAUUCUAUAACUAGAGAGACAGUGAAAUGUGUUUUCCCCCCUUGGCAUAAGAUAUCAUUGUUGGUUUGUAACCAAAUGAAUGCACAUUUUCUAUCUGGAAUCACAACUCACAUUGAGAUAUAUGUCAAUCAAAACUACUCCACAACAAAUCAAUUUCUGCAAUAUUAACCAGUGCUUUCAUUUGUAAGCUAAUACUCUUAAUCUCUAAAUGAAUCUUAUUGGUGUCCGGAUGAGAGAUAUCCCCUCCAAGGAAGUGGUGCACCUUAUUACCAAUCUCCAUCCAACUAUAUGCACAUUGCUUUUUCACUCCUUGCUCUUUCAUCUGUAGCCUCACUCUUGUGACUUCAUCCCACAUGCCAGCCGCAGCAUAUAUAUUAGACAAAACAACAUAAGCGCCAGAAUGAUGUGGAUUCCAUUCCACAAUUUUCUUAGCUGCUAAUUCCCCUAAUUCUACAUUCAAGUAAACACUGCAGGCAGCUAAAAGAGCACCCCAGACUCCAGCAUCAGCUUCAAAAGGCAUCGAUCGUAUUAUUUCUGAUGCCUUUUCCAGCUGACCUGCUCGACUCAGUGUAUCAACCAAGCAAGAAUAGUGUUCAGGUCCAGGACAAAUCCCAUAUUCUUUUACCAUUAGGUCAAAGAAGUCCAUACUUUCAUUUACUUUCCCUGCAUGACCACAAGCUGAUAAUAAACUAAGAAAAGUUACCCCAUCUGGUUUAACACCAACCACUUCCAUCUGGUUGAAGAAUUCAACAGCCUUUUCACAGAGACCGUGCUGCGCAAAUGCAGAAAUGAUUGUAUUCCAUGAAACAAGGCACGCUCCAUUCAUUUGUCUAAAAGCUUGCUCAGCAUCAAGAAUGCUACCACAUUUACUAUACAUAUUAAUCAAGGAAUGACACAAAGAAGCAUCUGAUUCAAAGCCAUAUUUUAUAACAAGCACGUGCAUUUGCCUGCCUUCCUUAACUGAUGCAAGACCAGAACAAGCAGUGAAAACAGAAACAAGGGUGAAAAUAUCCGGUUGGAUAGCCAGCUUAACCAUUUCUGAACACAACUUAAGUGCUUCCUCUCCGAUCCCAUUUAGUGCAUAACCUGCACCAUAUAUUACAAUCACCUUAGCCUUCAAACUUUUGAAAAAAAAAAAAGUAAUCUUCCUUCUAAAACAAGAAAGGAUCUUUAGCUUUUCAAUAUCUAAAGCAAUAUUUCCAAAGUCAACAACCACGACACUUUUUUGUAUCAGAUGUUUGCAAAGCCAUUGUAAACUAUAUUCUGCAUCAACUAGUACAUACCAAGCAUUUUUUCCCUCAAGAAAUGAAAGGAACACAGUGCAGCUACUCUACAUCUUCUGAUUCAGAUCAAAGUACGAUUACUACAAGUUUAUUCCAAUUUUGUCAUUAUAUUAUCAUCAAACAUAGCAAAACAGACACUCUAUUGUAGAUAAAGAAGCAAACAGACCUGUUAUCAUUGCAUUCCAACAGGGUAGAUCUUUGCACCAAAUUCCAUCAAACAAGGUCCUAGCAUCCUCCACCUUCCCUUCCUUAAAAUACCCAGUUAUCAUAGCAGUCAUAGCAACAACAUUCCUAUUGGGCAUCCGCUCAUACAACUCCUUGGCUUCAUUAAACCUGCCAUUAUCAACAUACCCACUAAUCAUCACCGUCCAAGAAACAACAUUUCUAUACGGCAUCUCAUCAAACAAAGCCCUCGCCUUCUCAAAUUCCCCUACCUUCAUAUACCCAUCCAUCAUUGCUGUAUAAGAAAUCACAUUCUUUCUAGGCAUUUCUUGGAAAAGCAUUUCAGCUUCUUUCACUCUAUCCCAUCUUAUAAACCCUGACAUCAUCGCAUUGUACGACUCGGUAUUCCUCUCAGGCAUUGCUUUAAAAUACUGGAAAGCUUCAUCUAAGUAUCCAUUUUCGACACAACCGGCGAUCAUGGAGUUCCAGGAGAGUAUAUUUCUAUCAGGCAUUGAAAUAAAAAGUUUCUUCGAUUCCCGAAGAAAGCCAUUCUGCCAGUAGCCGGUAAUGAUAGAGUUCCAGGAGACGACGUCGGGAGCUGGCAUAUUAUCAAACAGUUGGCGGGCAGCUUUAAUGUAACCUGCCCGAGAAAGUUCCCGGAUCCUAACGUUGCAAUCAUAGACACGGGGAGCAGAGAAGGAGUGGUGCUUAGCUGGGUAAAGAAGAGCUUUGAAAGCGAAAGGAAUAUGAAAUAUGGGGAGAAGAGAGGGAGAGAUUAUGGGUGUGGAUUGGAGGGAAAAGCGAAGGAGCAUGAUAGCAAAAUACUCAAUUAUUAUUACAUGAGAAGAAAUAGAAAUUGGAAUUUUGAGUCGGGCGAGUUUUUGUGCAAGAAAGAUGGGUUUAAUUUAACAAUUUAAUAAAAGAAAAAUGUUUAUAUAAAAAAUUAUUAAACAUGAAAUACAAAUGUAUACUUUAAAACAAAUAUGAAGAUGACAUGAGUUGGGUGGGACUCUAUCUAUCAACCUCGGUCUCAUGGUCGUCUUGGACUUCGAUAUAUGAGAGAUCAAAACACCUUUUUCUUUUAUGAAGAUUGGGUGAAUUUGGUAUCUAAGGACAGUGCCUUAUGGGUACAAGUCCUUUCAUCGAAGUAUGAUUUGAAAGAAUAAUUAUCGGAUAGCAUUGCUCAAAGUAAAUGCUCACAUCUUUGAAGGGCUUUUUCUAAGGUAUGACCCUUAUUUCGAGAGAAUUUACCUUGGUCAAUAGGAAAUGGUAAUAACAUUUGUUGUUGGAAGUAUUUAUGGGUUCCGACAGUAGGUCCUUUGAUAAUGCAAAUACAUGCUCUUGAUAAUCUUAAUUUAGAUUGCCCUCUUAGUGAAAUGGUUACACCGGAUGGAACUUGGAAUCUUGACCUUUUUAGUGUAUGGUUGUCAAAGGAUGUGGUCAGGCAAAUAGUAAGUAUUCCUCCUCCUCACCCUUCUUCGGGAUCGGAUAAGGUUAUUUGGACACGUACAGCAUCAGGGUCCUUUUCUGUUCGAAGUGCCCUUUGGUUUUUAAAGGAAAAUUCUUUGAAAUCUAGAGAUGACUUAUGGAAGAACACAUGGAAAUAUUAAGGGUCGCAGAGAGUCAAAAGUUUCCUUUGGUUAGUAUCUAAGCAAAGGCUACUUACUAAUGUGGAGCGUACUCGAUAGGGAAUUGGGUAUAACAGCUCUUGCUCGUUACGCGAACAUGAAACAGAGGAUACUCAUCAUGUGCUUUGGGAUUGUUCGGCAACGAAGAAAGUGUAGAUGCAUAUUGCCCUACUUAAUCAACAACACAAUUUUUUCUUUGGGACUCUACAGGAUUGCUUAAAUUCUAACAUUUGUUGUUCCGCAAGGUUGCCUAGAUGAGGAAUAAUUUGGUCUUGUCUUUUUGGACUAAUUGCUUGUCGCAUCUGGAAGAAUAGGAAUUUGUUUAUCUUCCAAGGUAUUACUUGGAACAGUCUUAAAAUUGUUAAACUUUCCUAUAGUUGGGCACAGCAGUAUGAGUUAAGCCAUAAUGGAUACAAGCAAAUGAACAUACUUUUGAUACUCGAGCACCCUUAAUAGGUAAAUGGGUACAUUUAUUCACUGAUGGUGCAGUGGAUAAAGGUUCUGUAAGUGCUUUUGAUGGUGGAGUGUUAUGUGACUAGAAUGAGAAUUGGAUCUUGGGGUAUAAUCACUAUAUGAGAAAAUGCACAGAUUUUGAGACUAAACUAUGAGGUAUUUUAGAUGGUAUACUUAUUUUGCUUAGCAAAGGUUUUAAAAGAGUUACGAUUUAGACUGAAAAUCUAGAGGUGGUCAGAGCCUUACAAGGUAGUGUGGCGAUGGAUUCAGGAAUACGGUGCUCAAGAGGGUCCAAAGGAUUACGAGAAUUGAAGGACAGUGGUGGAUUAGAUAUGUUCCGAGGGAGGUUAAUCUAGUUGCUCACUGAUUGGCUAAGCUGAGCUUAGGAUGAAAGACAAGCUUACAGAUUUAUGAUGACGCCCCUAAUGAAGUCUUAAAAAUUCUCGAACAAGAUAAAGCUUGUAGUGCUUUCGAACAAUUUAAUUUGAUGUAACUCGAUUCUUGUUUAUCACCAAAAAAAAUAUAAUCCUCCAAAAAUAAUAAUACAAGCAAGUUUAAACUAGUUCGAGUUAACCAUUUACAAAUAUAGAAAAUUUUAAAUAAAAUAUGAGAUUGGUAUUAUGGGUUAGGCCUAGUUUGAACGAUUAAACGAUUAUGUAUACUAUCAAUGGCAUGCAUAAGUUCAAUUUGAACUUGACCUUUCAUGUACGCUUAUUAAGAGUACUUUAAAAUGUUUCUUAUAUGAUAAGAUUCCUUACAAUUCCCAUAUAAGUUGAAGACUACUUAGAUUUCAAUAAAAACAAUGAAUUUGAAAAUUGUAGAUUUUUAUUUUAUUAUAAUUUUGAGGUGAAAUUUAUAUGAUUAUUUUUUUUAACAAAUGGAACUAAAGGUUUUCAGUAAAAAAAAUAAACAAAUUAAUCUCUCAGCCGGAAAAAUGUGCAUCCAGGCAAAAUAAAAAUCUAUUAAGCCCUUCCAUUAACAAAACUAUUAUUCACCGGUUUGACCAUUAAUGAUCGCUAACAUGAUUAAUAAAAGCAAUGAAAAGUUAACACAUACCAUGAGAUAUAAAUACAUAGUUAAGAAGAAAAAGAUAAUUAAAAGAAUAUAACAAUCCACGUCUAAAAUGAAUUUGGACAAACCAAUGUUCAAGUUCAUUUAAAUAUGGGCAUAUAUAUGUUUAAAUUUGUUUUGAACAUGAUUUGUCAUAUUAUGAAAAAAAUAGUAAAAAUAAUAAUUAUUGUAAAAAAUCAUAAAAUCCUUAAAAGAAUCAAAAGUAAAAAUGUGUUUCGAUGGUGGGAUGAAAUAUCAACACUAAUUUGGAACUAUGUAUAUUUGUGCCAAAUAUUAUUUUAGUCCUCAAUAACGUGUGAUUAUUUUGACCUUUUUAAUAAUAUUUAUAAUUUCACAAUUUCUUUAGAAUUUUAAAAUAUUAUAACCUUUUCAUGAUUCUAAUGAAGUUCCAUACUUCUUUUAUAAUUUAAUUGAAUUACUUAUAACAACAGGUAUGAAUGUCAUACGUUUAUCUAGUUUCGUUAGUAACCCACUUUUAUUUCCACUAUGGACUCGAUCAGUUUCAUUUUAUUUCUUCCAGCUCAUUUAAUUCUUUAUUUAAAGAAAACCCUAACUUGUUUUUAAUACCAACCAUCCAUUAGGCCUCCCAUACGAUAAUCAAACUUUUAAAUAUUUUAACAUUAUUUUGCAUUUUAUAAUCUAAAAUUUUUCAUUUGGAUUUUCAUACCACUAUUUGUUGUUCACAUCUAAAGCACAAAACAUCGUGUGAGUUAAAAUACUAAAAUGCACCAACAUUAUGUAUUUAUUUUUAACCUAUCCAAAAUGACCAUAAGCAAUAGAGCUUUGUGACUGCUGCCACUCCAUAAAAAUACAAAAAAAAGGCGGCCCACAUUCCAAAUGUACACAUUUUUUGUUGUCACUUAGUUGGGUUAAUGGCUACUUGAGUAAUCACCACCGGAAAUUCGGAGCCAAUUCACUAAAAGGCCGAUUAAUUACCAUUACAAAUAAAACAUUUUCUUAAGCCAAAUCAAGAACUGACACGAUUAAGCAAGUUUUUACUCGCAACAAAUAAACAACCAAAGCCACUACUGUGGCAAAGCAACUUUCGAUUAAGCAAAAACACAUUUAAACAAGACUAUACCAGACAUGAGUUAUUGUCCAUUAACAUAUCAGACGCCCCACUUCAUCAUCACAUCACAUUGAACCUACCACUACCAUCAUGGCCUAAAAGAUGAUCAGAAAAAACAAAAAACCAAUACAUUUGCCUAAAAAUAAACAAUAGUUUCUUCUAAGCGACUGAUCCACACUUUCGGAAAUUAAGCACGCUCUCCCCUGAUCCUACGAGCCAACUGGAUGUCCUUGGGCAUAAUUGUGACACGCUUGGCAUGGAUCGCGCAAAGGUUGGUGUCUUCAAAAAGACCCACAAGGUAUGCCUCUGCAGCUUCCUGGAGAGCUAGAACAGCAUGGCUCUGGAAACGCAAAUCAGUCUGCAUACAGAGACCGUAACAGGUAUUGUCAAUCAAAAGUUGAUAGCAUCAACGGUCAAGGAAUAGACACAAGAAUAGAGAUAUUUUGUACCUUGAAGUCCUGGGCAAUUUCACGAACAAGCCUCUGGAAAGGCAAUUUCCUGAUAAGAAGCUCAGUACUCUUCUGGUAUUUACGAAUUUCACUGUACAAAUAAAUUAUAAUAUGUCAAAAGCCUAUAAAACGAAACACCCACACUCACAAGAACAAAAAAUCAUGUAAUGAAAAUAUGAAAGAAUACCGAAGAGCAACAGUUCCAGGACGGUAUCGAUGAGGCUUCUUCACACCACCGGUGGUUGGGGCAGAUUUACGGGCAGCCUGUUAUACAACAGAGAUAUAUUCGAAGUUAAUCACAAAACAAGAAAGCUCAAAUUUGGUAAACCGGAUAUUGUCUUGAAUGCAAUACAAUGAAUCACCUUGGUAGCAAGUUGCUUCCUUGGAGCCUUCCCACCAGUCGACUUACGGGCGGUUUGCUUGGUACGGGCCAUCUCUGCAAAGAUAUGAAUAAUUUCAGAAGACAAACAAAAAAAAAAAAACAUUUUCUCAUGAACCAAAAAUAACACACAAAAUCCAGAUCUUAGAUAAUUACUGAAUAAUUCCCAAAAGCCCUAAUUUUCAAACUAGAAAACUUCUAAGCCAAAAUAGAAAAUCAGAAAGGGAAUUAAAACAGAAGUCGAAGGUCCUAAAUGAACUCAGAAACUAUAAAAGGUACCCUAAUUAUAAACAAAUUCAACCUAAUUCUACCUUACCUCCCCUAUUUCCCUAAUUCAACUUACACUACAUGAAAUACAAAAACAAAUUAAAAGAAUCAGAAUUUACAAACCCUAAUUUAUCAUAAAAGUAAACAAAUAAAUAAAAGCUAAGAGAGCGAGAGAAGGUGACUAACCCUGAGAUCUUAGACAAACGCUUUAUUAUCUUCCUGUUCAAACGUUUGAAAAGGUAAGCAAUUAAGAGGUAUUUAUAGAAGGUUGGGGGUUUUGAUAAUGAAGUUGAUCCGACGGUUAAGAUUUACAAUCCGUGUGUUUCUUUUGUACGAAAUCUGACGGUAAAAACUGUCACAAGUUGUGUUUUCUGAGAGGAAAAGGACGGUUGGGAUUAGAUUAUAGUGGGAAGACACGGAUCGUGAUGGUUUGAGUGCUUGAUUCUUAUUGGUCGACUAAAAUUGCUUUUUAGCACAAAUGUUUUUAAGGUUGGAUUAAUGAAUUAACACAAAAUUAAAAGUAGUAAAUUUUGUCCUUCUAUUUAUAAGUUGGGAGGGGUUUUGGAUAGUUCUAAAUAUUGUGUAAAAAAAACAGAAAUGAUUAUAGUCUCUAAUGAGAUUAUUAAAAAAUAUAUAUAGCAAAUUUGAUUUGGCAUUAACAUUUACUUAUAAAUAGGGUUAAAUUAUGAAAGUUGUAAUUUGGUAUUAGUCCUUAAUAGAUUUAAGAAAGAAUUUUGAAUAUUUUGAACUUAGAUUUUAUUAUAAAUUUGAUAUUAAAAUUAUAAGAUUAUUUAAAUUUAUAAACACCAUAAAUUUUUUUGGCAAAAGGGAUUAAAUAAAAUCUUAAUAAAAAUUAAUAAAUCAAUUUACAUCUUAAAAAAAAAAUGCACACAAUUAAAGUCCCAAAAGCAAAAAUAAAAAAUAAAACUCUUUCAUUACCAAAAACUUCUGUUUAAAAGAGGGGAGAAAUAGACAUCUAAGCUCCUUUUGAUGUAACAUAUAAAUUUGUUUCGCUUCAUUCCAAACACAAUUCAAAUAUAUAUUCUAAAAAAAUGGUAAAAAAAUUAUAAUAAAUAAAAUUUAAAAAAGAGUAAGAAGUGUUUUCUUUUCUUUUAUUUUAGUCCUUAAUAACAUGUGAUAUUUUGGUUUAUAAUUGACUAUUUUGACAAAUCUUUUCAUAGUUAACAAUAUUUAUAAUCUUUAAUGAUUUUUAACAUUCUUUAUAAUUUCAUACAAGAUUUUAAAUAUAUUAUAAUAUUUUCAACUAGGUUGAGCCUUUAUUUAUCUAAGAUUGAUUUUUGGGCAAAUUUUUUUUCUGAAAAUAUUAACUAAUUAAUUAUAUAGAAGUACUCAGAAAAGAAAAAAAACAUCCUCUCACUUGUCUAGUCCUAGAAAGGUUAGAAACGACAUAGGAAGGGUACCAAAAAUCUACAAAUCCUUUUUUUUUCUUUUAUAUUAAAGUUAGUUUGCUUAAACAGUUCGUAGCUUGAUUUUGCUCUCUAGAAAUAUAAAACAAGAGCCACCGUUUUUUUUUGUGCCAAAAUAUUUUGUAUACAUCUAAUCAAAGUUGAAUUCGACAUGUUAGACUGCAAGGAACGCUUCCUUGAUUAGCUUUAACAAUUUUCAAACUAUAAGAUUUGAUUACUCCAUCAUCAAAGGCCUCAUAGCCUCUACAUUGGGUUAGCUUGAGACCGUCCAAAAUAUCCUGAAGUUCGGUGUCAAUGAACGAACACUUCCCUAAGUAACGGUUAUAGCCAGACACCCAUUCCCAUUCUCAUCACAAAUUACUCCCCGAAAACUACAUUACCUAAUUAAUUUCUUUCCAAGGCUCAUUUGGCUAAAUUUGUUUUUAGAAAUAAUGAUUUUUUUACGUACCAAUUUAAUAAAAAAAGUUAGUUUAAUUAACCAUUUAAUUAUUCCAUUCUUCAAUUCUAGAAGUUAAGUUUCUUUUAUCAAAACAUCUUGAAAUUUUUAACACUUCACUGUGAAUCUCCACAUUUGUAAUUAAUUAAUUUUUAAUAUAUUUAUUUAACAAAAUUUUUAAAUAAUUCUAAGAAUUUUCUAUAUUUUAAAAAAUAAUUAAUUGUUGAUGUUAUAGUUUUAACUUUAAUUUUUCCAUCCAAUAUCGAGUAGUUUGAAAAAUUACAAAUAUAAAUAUUAAAAAAUAAAAAAAAUUUAAAAGCUAAAAUGAUUUUUUUUUACGAAGUUAGAGCCUAAAUAAGUAAUUAUAGAUUUUUUCUAAUAUCUCAAAUUAUCAAACAAGAAUUAUCUUAAUUAAAUAUAGAUUCAACUUCAAAAUCUUGAACCGAAAAAUUCACCUUAAAUGCUUUUUUUCAUCCUAUAUUUGAAAAAACAUUCCAUUAGGAUUUUCACACCAUUACUCGAUGCCACUUGUAAGCACAAAACAUCUUGAUCCAGUUAACAAAAGCACCAAUAUCAGGGUAAUUUACCAAUAAAAGUUUUUUUUUCAAAAUUUAUCGAAAUGGACCAACUAUUUAAUUAUUUACCGAAAUGGUCUAUUUUUCGCGAAAUCGCAUCCACGUCAGCGCAAUGUCAGGGUACGCGCCAGGAAAUCGCGUCCACGUCAGCGCGACUUGCUGACGUGGACAGAAAUCGCGCCUUAGAGGACACGAUUUGCUGACGUGGCAUGAACAGUUUAUUUUUUUAGCUUAAAAAACUUUGAAAGGCCAUAACUUUUGGCUCGGUUGUCCAAUUGAGACGAUUUUUUUAUUUCGAAUAACUUUUCGAGAUCUACGCACUGACAAACUUCUUAGAGAUGAAUAGGGACUAAUUUGUAAAGUAUAAUUUGUUAGUUACGAGUAUAGGGACUAAAAUAUAAUUAUUUCAAAAUUAACAUGAAAUUUUUGUAUUUAAGAAUAUUUUAAUGUUAUGGAAGGAUGAAUUUGAAUUUGAAUUGAAAAACAAAGCUUAGAUUUGAAAAUAUGACUAUUUAGGUUUUAGAGACUAAAUUGAAUAAAAUAAAAAAUUUUAGGAAACUUCUCAAAAGUCAAAUGAGCUGACUUAUAAAAAAAUAUCCAGUGUUUACUUCAAAUAAAUAAGUAAAAUAAUAAUUUAAAUGUUUAAAAAUUUAAUUUUAAACCGAAAAAAUCAAAAUUUAGGGACAAAAAAGAUCUUUUUUGACAAAAUCUGCAACAAAUCACCUUCAACAAUUUAUCAGCGCGUAAAUCUCAAAAAAUUAUUUAAAAUAAAAAAAAUAUUUAAAAUAAAAAAAAUCGAACAACCGAGCGAAAAUUUAUGGCCUUUCAAAAUUUUACAAACUUAAAAAUAUAAACUAUUCAUCCACGUCAGCAAAUCGCGUCCUCAUAGGCGCAAUUUCUGUCCACGUAAGCAAAUCACGUUGACGUAAACGCAAUGUCCUGACACGUACCCUGACAUUAUACAGACGUGAAUGCGAUUUCGCAAAAAAUAUCCUCUUCCGGUAAAUAAUCAAAAAAUCAGCCCACUUCAAUAAAUUAAAAAAAAAAACUUUUAUUGAUAAAUUACCCCAAUAUCACUCGUCUAUUUUACGCUAACCAUAGUAAUAAGAUAUACGCUGAAAGACACGCGUCCCACUUUUCACAUGGGACACAUUUUCAUUACCGACAUGAGAGGGUAAUCGCUCUUUCCGGCCAGUCAACAAAUUUAAGCCCAUAAAUUUUCGCUUCCCCAACCUACCACUACGGCACUACCUAAACAUGUCCCCUCCACAAUAUCCUCUUUUAACGGACCGAUUCCACAACACUACUAAACAACAUUUGCAUUUACAAUACACGAAAAAAUAUUCGAAGUCACUAGUUUUGAUUAGGAAGCACAUUAAAACAAACUAUACCAGACAUGAGAUCUUAUCCAUUAAAAUAUCAGACAUCACACUCUCCACCAUAACCCCAUUUCAUCAUAACAUUGAACCUACGCACUAAGAUAAACCUAUCAUUCAAUCUAGUAAUAAAAGAGGAUUAAAAAUAAACAUAAAAAAAUAGUACAACACAUCUGCCUAACAACAAACAAUAGUUUCUCCAUUCUAAGUGAGUGAUUAACACACUUGGAAAUUAAGCACGCUCGCCCCUGAUCCUACGAGCCAACUGAAUGUCCUUGGGCAUUAUAGUAACACGCUUGGCGUGGAUCGCACACAGGUUGGUGUCUUCAAAGAGACCCACAAGGUAUGCUUCUGCAGCUUCCUGAAGAGCAAGAACGGCAUGGCUCUGGAAACGCAAAUCAGUCUGCAAACAAAUAUCAUAUCAACGAUUGUCAACCAGAAGUCAAUACCAUCAAUUGCCAAGGAAUUGACACAAUAAUAGAGAUACUC